rnacentral:rRNA from 1 species
GGGCGUAAGAGCUCGUAGGCGGUUUGUCGCGUCUGUCGUGAAAGUCCGGGGCUUAACCCCGGAUCUGCGGUGGGUACGGGCAGACUAGAGUGCAGUAGGGGAGACUGGAAUUCCUGGUGUAGCGGUGGAAUGCGCAGAUAUCAGGAGGAACACCGAUGGCGAAGGCAGGUCUCUGGGCUGUAACUGACGCUGAGGAGCGAAAGCAUGGGGAGCGAACAGGAUUAGAUACCCUGGUAGUCCAUGCCGUAAACGUUGGGCACUAGGUGUGGGGACCAUUCCACGGUUUCCGCGCCGCAGCUAACGCAUUAAGUGCCCCGCCUGGGGAGUACGGCCGCAAGGCUAAAACUCAAAGGAAUUGACGGGGGCCCGCACAAGCGGCGGAGCAUGCGGAUUAAUUCGAUGCAACGCGAAGAACCUUACCAAGGCUUGACAUGUUCUCGAUCGCCGUAGAGAUACGGUUUCCCCUUUGGGGCGGGUUCACAGGUGGUGCAUGGUUGUCGUCAGCUCGUGUCGUGAGAUGUUGGGUUAAGUCCCGCAACGAGCGCAACCCUCGUUCCAUGUUGCCAGCACGUAAUGGUGGGGACUCAUGGGAGACUGCCGGGGUCAACUCGGAGGAAGGUGAGGACGACGUCAAAUCAUCAUGCCCCUUAUGUCUUGGGCUUCACGCAUGCUACAAUGGCCGGUACAAUGGGUUGCGAUACUGUGAGGUGGAGCUAAUCCCAAAAAGCCGGUCUCANUUUCGGANUGGGGUCUGCAACUCGACCCCNUGAAGUCGGAGUCGCUAGUAAUCGCAGAUCAACAACGCUGCGGUGAAUACGUUCCCNGGGCCUUGUACACACCGCCCGGUCAAGUCACGAAAAGUUGGUAACACCCGAAGC